UACGUAGGGAGCGAGCGUUGUCCGGAAUUACUGGGUGUAAAGGGAGCGUAGGCGGGGAUGCAAGUUGGGUGUCAAAACUACCGGCUCAACUGGUAGUCGCACUCAAAACUGCAGCUCUUGAGUGAAGUAGGGGCAGGCGGAAUUCCUAGUGUAGCGGUGAAAUGCGUAGAUAUUAGGAGGAACACCAGUGGCGAAGGCGGCCUGCUGGGCUUUUACUGACGCUGAGGCUCGAAAGUGUGGGGAGCAAACAGG
rnacentral:rRNA from 1 species